rfam:TPA: Bos taurus chromosome 10, whole genome shotgun sequence.
UCCCUGGUGGCCUAGUGGUUAGGACACAGCAUUUUCAUUGCCAUUGCCUGGGUUCAAUUCCUAGUCAGGGAA